rnacentral:rRNA from 1 species
AACGAACGCUGGCGGCAUGCCUAACACAUGCAAGUCGAACGAGACCUUCGGGUCUAGUGGCGCACGGGUGCGUAACGCGUGGGAACCUGCCCUUAGGUUCGGAAUAACUCCCCGAAAGGGGUGCUAAUACCGGAUAAUGUCUUCGGACCAAAGAUUUAUCGCCUUUGGAUGGGCCCGCGUUGGAUUAGCUAGUUGGUAGGGUAAAAGCCUACCAAGGCGACGAUCCAUAGCUGGUCUGAGAGGAUGAUCAGCCACACUGGGACUGAGACACGGCCCAGACUCCAAGGGGAGGAGGAGGGGGGAAAUAUGGAAAAAGGGGAAAAAGCUGGAUCAAGAAAGGCCGGGGGAGAGAGAAGGGCCUGGGGGUUGAAAAGCUUUUUCACCGGGGAGAAAAAGGAAAGAACGGGAAAAAAAAACUCGGGAAAACCCGGGG